GCCCCCAACUCCAUGCUUUCUCUCUCCCAGGCGAUUUCCAGAUCUAGGGUUUCAAUAACCCUGAAUCGUUCAUUUUCUCUCAAUCCGACAGAAGAUCCAGUGGGGUUGACCUCUAGAAGAUCCACUGGGUUUUUCUCUAAUCGGCGUUUUGCAACAUUCGGCUUUUGAUUCGUGUGUCUGACCUCCUGGUUCCGUUUUCUGGCUUUUAUUGGCGUUUUGCAACAUUCGGCUUUUGAUUCGUGUGUCUGGUUUAGUACCGAUGGGGAUUCGGCUUUUGAUUCGUGUCUGAUUCGUGUGUUGGUGUUGGAUUCGUGUGUGUGAUGAAGAUGGAGCAGUGGAGAUACACAAUCCUGGGGAACUAACCUCAUGAAAGAAUGAAACUGGUUUCAAGUAGCAUUGGUUAUUGUUCAGAUCUGAAGGGGGAAGGUUUCUUUGCUCCCUUAUUUGGAUUGAAAACAAGCACAUAAUGUUGGGUGUGAAUCGGUUUCCGACAUCGCGUUUAUUCAGGUGGAUGGCCUUGCGCCACUCUUCCAGCAACCUUUUUGUUGGAGGUAUCCCAUCCCUUUUUCUCUCUUUAUGUGUUUAACUAUAGUAUUGGUUUUAAAAAGCACCUCUGAGGCGCGAUGUGACAAGUUAUGCACAUAUGGGUCUGAAUUGGAGUCUGUAAGAGGCUGGUUUGUGAAAACAAGCAUACGUGCAG